rnacentral:rRNA from 1 species
UACGGAGGGAGCUAGCGUUGCUCGGAAUCACUGGGCGUAAAGCGCGCGUAGGCGGACUCUUAAGUCGGUGGUGAAAUCCUGGAGCUCAACUCCAGAACUGCCUUCGAUACUGAGAGUCUCGAGUCCGGGAGAGGUGAGUGGAACUGCGAGUGUAGAGGUGAAAUUCGUAGAUAUUCGCAAGAACACCAGUGGCGAAGGCGGCUCACUGGCCCGGUACUGACGCUGAGGUGCGAAAGCGUGGGGAGCAAACAGG